GGGUAACGUCCCAACAAGCCGAUAAUCGGUACGGGUUGUGAGAGCAAGAGCCCGGAGAUGGAUUCUGAGACACGAAUCCAGGUCCUACGGGGCGCAGCAGGCGCGAAAACUUUACACUGCGCGAAAGCGCGAUAAGGGGACCUCGAGUGCGUGCGCAAAGCGUACGCUUUUCAGAUGCCUAAAAAGCAUCUGGAAUAAGGGCCGGGCAAGACCGGUGCCAGCCGCCGCGGUAACACCGGCGGCUCAAGUGGUGGCCGCUAUUAUUGGGCUUAAAGGGUCCGUAGCCGGACCAGUUAGUCCCUUGGGAAAUCUUACGGCUUAACCGUAAGGCUGCCAAUGGAUACUGCUGGUCUUGGGACCGGGAGAGGCAAGAGGUACCUCAGGGGUAGGAGUGAAAUCCUGUAAUCCUUGAGGGACCGCCAGUGGCGAAGGCGUCUUGCUAGAACGGGUCCGACGGUGAGGGACGAAAGCUAGGGGCACGAACCGGAUUAGAUACCCGGGUAGUCCUAGCCGUAAACGAUGCGAGCUAGGUGUCACGUGGAUUGCGAAUCCAUGUGGUGCCGAAGGGAAACCGUGAAGCUCGCCGCCUGGGAAGUACGGCCGCAAGGCUGAAACUUAAAGGAAUUGGCGGGGGAGCAC
rnacentral:rRNA from 1 species